AAUGAGGGAAGUACGUGUACGCAUAGUCACAUGAUAUCAGAUUGCAUCAAGUGUUGUUUACAUACGGAACCAUUGACCACACUGAAAACACUGACAGAACGAUAGAUUAAAAUACAAUGAGUUAUCAGCCACCCGCGGGAUCUUACCAGCAAACCCCACCUCCCUAUCAGCAGUAUGGUGGGGCCCCGCCGGCAGGGGCAUACCUCGGACCACAAACAGGGGGAUAUGGUCCGUAUCAACAACCUCCGGCAGGGGCAUACCCUGGACCACAAACAGCGGGGGGAUAUGCUCCCUAUCAACAACCUCCAGCAGGGGCAUAUCAACAACAACCCACAACAACAGUAUAUGUUUACGAAGGAAAGAGCAAACAACAACAAGAUCAAGAAAUGGCGGAGGACUGUUGUCUACUGACUUGUUGUAUGGCUUUGUUGUGUUGCUGUUUUUUGAAUAACUAAAUGGAACCCAACUCACCGUUUAUAGAAUUUUUAUCCGGAUAACGAAGGAAGGAUAAUUAUGGUUGUUUUGUGAGCGUGUGUGGGACGUGGAAUGAAAUGAUCUUUUUUCAUGCCAUAAUAAAUGUUUGUUGUUACCGGUAUUGUACAUGUGAUUUAAAGUGCGUUUAAAGAUACAAUUCUUUUUACAAUUUACUAGGGAUAAUAACUAUUUUGGAGAGGACCAUAAUUACCUUUCAUUCCGGGGGGGGGGGGGGUUACAUGUAUACCGGUAGCGACGACGCAUCAACAUGACAGAAUUUCGUCUUUUAAUGGAAUUGGGAUAAAAAUACCCGUAUAUUAUAUAGAUAUUGGAUCGCCAAUUCUCAAGCUGAACGAACUCAUGAAUCGACUUUAUACAUCGCAUUCUUGACUUAUGUGGAUUAUCUUAUAUUUGGGGUGAUCACUUUUGUUAUAAUCUGAACAAAAAUUGAGUUAACAGUGUUGUUAAGCAAAUACUUCAGGACCAAUUUGUACAAAAGUGGAAUACUGAUAUAAAUAGCUCAUCCAAAGUGUUUUAUAUAGAUUUUUUUAUGUAAAACGUAUUUAAACUUUUUAUUUUGCCACUACAAACUUAGAAAAAUGUUUAGAAAAUUCUGGACCUCAAAUCACCAUCUACCAGUUGAGCUAGAAAGAUAGACAGAUAUACCAUGAAAUGAAAAGUAAUGCACACUUUGUAAAACAAGGCAUAUAUAGCCGACGAAUUCCAUAUUAGAAUUAAGUGCACUGUCAAACAUUCAAUAGAAGUAUUUUAACGAGCACUAUUUAGAGCAAAUGUACUUUUAUAAAAGUUUACGGAUCUGAUGACAAAACAUAAUGUUAAGUCGUUGAAAAAAUUACGCAUAUUUUUAAAAGAUAUAUGAAUUAGUCUGUCUUCCAUGAUUUUAUCCUUCUUAUUUUUAUUGCAUAUAUUUUUCUCACUAUCAUCCUCUGCAUUAACAUUUCGUCCACUUGUACCUCUGACCUAAAUGUUUGUAUUCUGUAAUAUAUUACAAUGCCCUCAUGUACCAUAUGUUAAUGUUUUGGUUUUAAAUGAACCUGAACUUGGAAAACCUCGUGUUGUCCAAUUAAAGAUUUACUUAGCAACAAUUUAUUAUUAUUAUUAGUAGUAGUAUUAUCAUCAUCAUCAUUAAUAGUGAUAUCAUUUUUCUUUUAUUAAUGGUAUACAGUACAGAAUAUCUAACUUUGAAAAUAAAAAUUCAUUGGUUUUUAAAAGAACACCCUAUUUAAUUAUAUAUAGAUCUAUGCGCAAGAAAUAUUUAAACAUUAAAUAAUUAAUGCAUUUAUGUUAUGUGACAUAUAGAUAGACUUAGAUAGUGUAUUUUUGACAUAACAUCAAGAAAAACCUCAACGAGGAUUUCCAGUGUUUAUUUCUAUGUAGAUCAUACUUCUGUUUUUUGGCUUUUUCUUUUGAGUAAAUUUUCAAUCAUUGGUUUUCAUAGAUUAUGUUUACUCGCUAAGAAUCAAUCAUCUUUUAAAAUUAUAUAAUAGUAGGUGAUUCCAUUUUGUUUGUACAUAUAUAUAAAUGAAAAAAAAAAUGGAGUAAAGAGACUUAUGAAAUA